UUUCCAAAUAAUAUUUCAUCAUUAACCCCAAAAAAGUCUUUUUGUGUCACACAUGCGUUUCAAAAAUUUAAAUUUAAAUUUUUAUCAAUUUUCAAACAAUAUCAUAAGACUAAGAGGCUACUAAAACAUAUACUGCUUUGCUGUUUUUUUAUAUAUAUUUUUUGAAUAGUAAAUUUUUCAUAAUUGUUCAUGAAUAUUCUUAAAUUAUUUUUGGAUAUUGCUAUAUGUUCGUGACGCCGACUUGGUUUCAAA